AAUUUCCAUGUUACUCAUAUGACUGUAAAUUAUCUGUCCUAGAAACCCACUUUCGAAUCACUAUCGCAGCCUCCCUUCUCCUCUUCGCUUCUCUCUGUGCAAGCCAUCUGCGAAUAUAUUUUUGGAGAACAAUGGCAGCCGCUCGCAUUUCAAGGUAUAUUUUCCUCUGUUUUCUACCCUUCCAUCUGCUUUGAAUUAUAGCUGCGAUGUCAUGUUUCUUAUCCUGGAAAGCAUCUUCCGUAUCGAAUAAGGUCUUCGGGAAUCUGAUGAAGAGCUUGGUCCUGCGAGAGAAAAAGAUCGUGAUCGUGAGAGUUCAAAUGGGAAUGAAGUUUUUCGAGGAAGCUCAAAUCAGUCGGUUCUCCAGGACGAAGGCAUUCCUCGUCCAGCAAGGAUAUGAUACCUGUAGAAAUUUAUGCAAAACUGUUCAAAGCUGUGGAUAAAAGAAAAAUAUUUUUCGUGUAAUUGCGGACAACGGUUUAUUUUCAAUGUCAAAAGUUCAACUCGAACGCACCUAUUUUUCUGGAAAAUUUCAAAACCGUAAAUAUCGAGGAUUCCCAUAACAACAUUGCGUCGGUUGUCUUCGGCUUGAAGCGAUUUAUUCAACCUCUUCACCAGCCAUGUAAACAAACGGUCAUAAACAGCCUUUGCUAGAGCAUCCCUAGCAUAAAUCGCCAAUUCUCUAUUCAAUGGUGAACGAACUACAUCCCCGUGAGCGUCUAUCGUACGACUAGUGAAAGCCAAAGCCAAUUCAACUGCGUCGCAGCCCAGCAACUGAUUAAUUAAAAUAAAACAAAAUCACUGGUAAUGUUGUGAUUGAUAAAAAAUCAAUGCUGAAUGGAUAUUCAUUCGGUAAAUAUAAUUACAUUGGCAAUCGCAUCAACGGCAGCGGGUUUCAAUAUCACCGCAACUCCUUCGGUUUCCGUGAACCCUACGUUCCCCAUGUGCAAUACUGAGGCCACAAUCUGGAAUAUGGAGUCUUGUUCGUCCUGGGUAAGUUCUAUAGUUUUCAUAGCUUGAAUCAUUUCAUUGUACUGUUCGGUAUCAUCAAUGGAAUUCACAUUACCCUUAGCCUGUAAACCCGGUGAAAUUAUUAUUCUG
rnacentral:misc_RNA from 1 species